GAUCCAAAAUAUGUACGGUACAGAUAACUGGGUUAUCUUACUAAACCAAAUCAAACCGAAACACACUAAUUUAAUUUCUAUCACUUGUUAUCAGAUAUUUCCUCUGCUAGGAAGAGAGACUCAUACACACACAAGCAUUGGUUGGCUGAUAAACAAAACAAGUAGAUAUGCCACCAUUUUUUUUUUGAAGAUCUCGGUUCCUCCAUUUAUACAAUGCCACGUCAACCACAGGGUCCCACAUUCAAGACUUCCAGAAACUCAAAGGAGAAUA
rnacentral:lncRNA from 1 species